CGUCACUUUCCCAUACUGUUUUUAUUGACGAUGUAAGCAGAGAUGCUUGGAACCAGUGGAAUGAGUUAUCCUAGGUACCAAGAUUUGAUCAAACAUCUAGCAAUCUUUGACCUUUAAUAUAUUCGUAAGUUAUGGUGUGUUUUCAGGCAAAAAACACGCCUGGAUAUGUGGUUUGCUUCAGUAUGUGAGUUUUUAUGCGGUAACAAUUUCAACGUGUAUGAGGUAGUUAGACACAUCAAUCAUGGUUACUCAUGGGUCUCAAACAAAGGAUACUGUGAAGUCAUCACAACCAGAAAACAAAGUUUCAAAGCGGGCUUCAGCAAUCACAAUUUGUGUGACAAUUUUUUUCAACCUUGCAUGUGGAUGUUUCGGGUACACUGCAUUUGGGAAUGAUACACCGGGAAACCUCUUGACAGGCUUUUGAUUUUAUGAACCUUACUGGCUCGUCGCCUUUGCUAACGCGUGCAGGAUAUCAAGAAUUCAAUCCCCCAAGUUCAGUAUGUACCUGUGGUGAUUGGACAGCGUUUCUGAAGCGCCUUUCUGCACUUCUACAUAUCAACAAGAUAUUUGAGCUAGGAAUUUCUGAAAAUCUUCAGGAACAUGCCAACUAUUUAAUGUGAAUAUCGUUGAGAAGGUAUAUAUGCUAUGCUGCAUUUGGGAAUGAUACACCAGGAAACCUCUGGACUGGUCUUGUCAGCAAUGCUAAUCAUGGGCGAAACUUUUAAGGGGCGGGAGGGGGCGGCCGAGCUCUCAAACUUUUCGCUCAGUAGUGGAGAGUAUGUAGUUUUCGUAUAGAAAUUUUGCUUAUAUACGUUUUCGACCCUCUGGUUUUAUAGAAAUUUUUAGGUCCGGUGACUUCUGCCUCUCCAGUCGGAAAUCUCAAGCUUCGCCACUGAUGCUAAUACUUGCAUUAUAAUGCAUCUAAUAGGAGGAUAUCAAGUGAAACUUAGCUACUUCAUACAAACAAGUCAUCUUUGACUUUUAACGUCCGGCAAACGCUCAUUUGUCGUCCUGAAAAAUUACAAUUUUACCCCAGUUU